rnacentral:rRNA from 1 species
AUUGCCCUAGUAACGGCGAGUGAAGCGGCAACAGCUCAAAUUUGAAAUCUGGCGCAAGCCCGAGUUGUAAUUUGUAGAGGAUGCUUCUGGGUAGCGACCGAUCUAAGUUCCUUGGAACAGGACGUCAUAGAGGGUGAGAAUCCCGUAUGUGACCGGCCCGCACCCUUUACGUAGCUCCUUCGACGAGUCGAGUUGUUUGGGAAUGCAGCUCUAAAUGGGAGGUAAAUUUCUUCUAAAGCUAAAUACCGGCCAGAGACCGAUAGCGCACAAGUAGAGUGAUCGAAAGAUGAAAAGUACUUUGGAAAGAGAGUUAAAAAGCACGUGAAAUUGUUGAAAGGGAAGCGCCUGCAACCAGACUUCGCGGCAGUGUUCCGCCGGUCUUCUGACCGGUUCAUUCUCUGUCGCGAGGCCAUCAUCGUCUGGGCCCGCCGGAUAAGACCUUAGGAAUGUAGCUCACCUUCGGGGGAGUGUUAUAGCCUAGGGUGAUGCGGCGAGGCUCGGGCGAGGUCCGCGCUUCGGCAAGGAUGAUGGCGUAAUGGUUGUCGGCGGCCCGUCUUGAAACACGGACCAAGGAGUCUAACAUCUAUGCGAGUGUUCGGGUGUCAAACCCCUACGCGUAAUGAAAGUGAACGGAGGUGGGAACCGCAAGGUGCACCAUCGACCGAUCCUGAUGUCCUCGGAUGGAUUUGAGUAAGAGCAUAGCUGUUGGGACCCGAAAGAUGGUGAACUAUGCCUGAAUAGGGUGAAGCCAGAGGAAACUCUGGUGGAGGCUCGCAGCGGUUCUGACGUGCAAAUCGAUCGUCAAAUUUGGGUAUAGGGGCGAAAGACUAAUCG